rnacentral:rRNA from 1 species
GACGAACGUUGGCGGCGUGCUUAACACAUGCAAGUCGAACGGAAAGGCCCUGCUUUUGUGGGGUGCUCGAGUGGCGAACGGGUGAGUAACACGUGAGUAACCUGCCCUUGACUUUGGGAUAACUUCAGGAAACUGGGGCUAAUACCGGAUAGGAGCUCCUGCUGCAUGGUGGGGGUUGGAAAGUUUCGGCGGUUGGGGAUGGACUCGCGGCUUAUCAGCUUGUUGGUGGGGUAGUGGCUUACCAAGGCUUUGACGGGUAGCCGGCCUGAGAGGGUGACCGGCCACAUUGGGACGGAGAUACGGCCCAGACUCCUACGGGAGGCAGCAGUGGGGAAUAUUGCACAAUGGGCGGAAGCCUGAUGCAGCAACGCCGCGUGCGGGAUGACGGCCUUCGGGUUGUAAACCGCUUUCGCCUGUGACGAAGCGUGAGUGGCGGUAAUGGGUAAAGAAGCACCGGCUAACUACGUG